UCGUAAAACCGAGGUGCAAGGGCUGUCGCUGACCUUCCAAAGGUCGUGCACGCCCGAGCGCUCUCACCACAAUCCAUCUCACCCCUUUGUGCAUCACCGCGUGGGUCCCCCUUUGCUGGAAGGGCUCGCGUUUUCACAUAAAACUUGACACAGUCUAGAAUGUUUAUUUUUGCGGUAACACGCAAUCAAUA
rnacentral:misc_RNA from 1 species